rnacentral:rRNA from 1 species
UACGUAGGCAGCGAGCGUUGUUCGGAGUUACUGGGCGUAAAGGGUGUGUAGGCGGUUUUCUAAGUUUGGUGUGAAAUCUCCCGGCUCAACCGGGAGGGUGCGCCGAAAACUGGGAGACUAGAGUGCGGGAUGGGAGAGUAGAAUUCCUGGUGUAGCGGUGAAAUGCGUAGAUAUCGGGGAGGAACACCUGUGGCGAAAGCGGCUCUCUGGACCACAACUGACGCUGAGGCGCGAAAGCUAGGGGAGCAAACAGG